UAUACAGCAGCUUCAUGACCAGCGUGUUCUUGUUAACCAGGAUUCUUUUUACCAUAAUUUGACACCAGAAGAACAUGCAAGAGUACAUGAAUACAAUUUUGAUCAUCCUGAUGCAUUUGAUAAUGAGAAACUUUUAGCUUCUAUGGAUAAGUUGAGGAAUGGGCAAGCAGUAGAUAUUCCAAACUAUGACUUCAAGAGUUACAAAAACAAUGUCUUCCCGCCUAGAAGGGUAAACCCUUCAGAUGUGAUAAUUUUGGAAGGCAUUCUCAUUUUUCAUGAUCCCCGUGUUUGAGAGUUGAUGAAUAUGAAGAUAUUUGUCG